rnacentral:rRNA from 1 species
UACGGGGGGGGCAAGCGUUGUUCGGAAUUACUGGGCGUAAAGGGCUCGUAGGCGGCCAACUAAGUCAGACGUGAAAUCCCUCGGCUUAACCGGGGAACUGCGUCUGAUACUGGUUGGCUUGAAUCCGGGAGAGGGAUGUGGAAUUCAGGUGUAGCGGUGAAAUGCGUAGAUAUCUGGAGGAACACCGGUGGCGAAGGCGGCGUUCUGGACUGCAACUGACACUGUAAAAACGAAAGCCAGGGGGAGCAAACGGG